rnacentral:lncRNA from 1 species
AACCCGACCAAAUAAAAAACAACAGCAGAAGGUCACCAACAGGUCUUCAAUGUAGCGAGAAAUUCCCGCACCCGGAGGCGUCCUUCAGCUGGCCCCUAAACAAAUAUAUACUAGUUCAGUGAUAAUGAACGCCAUACUAAUUUCCAAAUUGUACACAAGAAACUAAUAUAAAAAUAAUACAAGACUAACAAAGGCCAGAGGCUCCUGACUUGGGACAGGCGCAAAAAUGCGGCGGGGUUAAACAUGUUUGUGAGAUCUCAACCCUCCCCCUAUACCUCUAACCAAUGUAGAAAAAUAAACGCAUAACAAUACGCACAUUAAAAUUCAGUUCAAGAGAAGUCCGAGUCUGAUGUCAGAAGAUGUAACCAAACAAAAUAAACAAAAUGACAAUAAUACAUAAAUAACAACAGACUACUAGCAGUUAACUGACAUGCCAGCUCCAGACUUCAAUUAAACUGACUGAAAGAUUAUGAUUUCAUCAUAUGAACAUCAGGCACAA